rnacentral:tRNA from 1 species
GCCUUCGUAGUGUAGUGGUCAGCACGCUGGGCGCGUAUUCCAGAGGUCCCUGGUUCGAUUCCCGGCGAGGGCU